AGAGUUUGAUCAUGGCUCAGGGUGAACGCUGGCGGCGUGCCUUACACAUGCAAGUCGAGCGAAGCUGCUAGGAUGAGCCCUUCGGGGUGAAUUCUAGUAGACUGAGCGGCGGACGGGUGAGUAACGCGUAGGUGACCUACCCCUCAGAGGGGGAUAACUGGGGGAAACCCCAGCUAAUACCCCAUACGUUCCAUGUAUGGUAGGUACAUGGAAGAAAGGGGGCAACAGCUCUGCUGAGGGAGGGGCCUGCGUCCCAUCAGGUAGUUGGUGAGGUAAUGGCUCACCAAGCCUACGACGGGUAGCCGGUCUGAGAGGAUGGCCGGCCACAAGGGCACUGAGACACGGGCCCUACUCCUACGGGAGGCAGCAGUGGGGGAUUUUGGACAAUGGGCGAAAGCCUGAUCCAGCGACGCCGCGUGCGGGAAGAAGCCCUUCGGGGUGUAAACCGCUGUGGUGGGAGACGAAUAAGGCGAGGAGUGGAAAGCCUUGCUGAUGACGGUAUCCCACUAGAAAGCCCCGGCUAACUACGUGCCAGCAGCCGCGGUAAUACGUAGGGGGCGAGCGUUACCCGGAUUCACUGGGCGUAAAGGGGGCGUAGGCGGCCGUGAAAGUCCGGUGUGAAAGGCCACGGCUCAACCGUGGAACUGCGCUGGAAACUACACGGGCUUGAGGACGG
rnacentral:rRNA from 1 species